UAAUGAUGGUGGCGGACGGGUGAGUAACGCGUAAAGAAUCUGCCCUUUAGWCUGGGAUAACAGUUGGAAACGACUGCUAAUACCGGAUAUUAUGGAAYCAUCGCAUGAUGARAUCAUGAAAGCUAUAUGCGCUAGAGGAGGACUUUGCGUCCCAUUAGCUAGUUGGUGAGGUAACGGCUCACCAAGGCGACGAUGGGUAGCCGGCCUGAGAGGGUGAUCGGCCACAAGGGAACUGAGACACGGUCCUUACUCCUACGGGAGGCAGCAGUGGGGAAUAUUGGACAAUGGRCCACAAGYCUGAUCCAGCAAUUCUGUGUGCACGAUGAAGGUCUUCGGAUUGUAAAGUGCUUUCAGUAGGGAAGAAUAAAUGACGGUACCUACAGAAGAAGCGACGGCUAAAUAUGUGCCAGCAGCCGCGGUAAUACAUAUGUCGCAAGCGUUAUCCGGAUUUAUUGGGCGUAAAGCGCGUCUAGGCGGUUUACUAAGUCUGAUGUGAAAA
rnacentral:rRNA from 1 species